rnacentral:tRNA from 1 species
GCCGAUGUAGCUCAGUUGGUCAGAGCAGCUGAUUUGUAAUCAGCAGGUCGCGGGUUCGAAUCCCUCCAUCGGCUCAA